CUCAGAGGUUUUUGUUUUCAUUUGACAGGGCACAUCUUAUAAGAGUAUUAACUGCAACCCAUCUUUUUACAGGGCCCUGGACAAAUCACUGCAUCCUUGAUAACCCCAAAAAGUCACCCUAAUGGCCAACAUGUGGUGGUAACACAGGGUUGGAACAAAAUUAAACAAAAAAGUAUUAUCUAAAUGUAAACCAUUCAGCUGAGCAUCUGCUACAAUCUCCCCACCAUCUGUCAUCCAGUCAGUGCUUACAGACCUCUCAGCUGGGAACUCACUCCAUCUAGUUGUGGUCCACUUCCUUUUUGGAAUGUUUCCCUCUUUAUUGAUCAACAGCUAUCAUUACUCUGUGAACACAGAUUAAGCUCCUCCUGUGGGCCAGGCACUGUGCCAAGAUGAACUCAACAGACUGGCCUCCCCUGACAUGGACUCGCCAUGGUCCCUCCCAGUGGGAGUGGAGCGUGUGAAGGCAACGUGCCAGGGAACAAGGCAGCAGCUCCACAGGUGACAGAACACGGGAAUCUGCCCUAGACCAGGUCUGGGAAGGCUCCCCUGGGUGUGAGGCUGAGCUGAGAUCCAAGCAUGGUCAAAGCAAGGGAAGUGACAGGAGGCUGGGGAGGCCUGAAGAUCUGGUUCAAGACGCUGAUGUUUAAAGAGCAAGGGAAGGCCCUGAAGGGUUUUUAAGCAAGGGGCUGACACGAUCAGAUCUGUAGCCACACUUGAAUCAACCACUUGGGGUCAUGGAGGACAGCCUGAUUCCUUUUGCAUAUGGCAACCUUUUAAAUCUUUCAUGAAAUCACAGAGUGCUUUGAGCUGCAAGAGCUGGAAUUCUACUUGUUCUCCGAGGCUUCCCGUGUUCCCUGAGCACUUCAUUCCCACCACAGCCAGUUCAGAGAGUCCACGACUGUUUCCCCCACUAGCCUGUGACCACCUGUAAGGCGAGUGCCGAGUCUUAAUUCACUGUGGAUCUGGUCCUCUGAGGAGCUGUCAUGAGCACACUUUAUUUUUGAAGUGAAGAACUGAAGCCCAGAGAAAACAAGUCUAACCUUGAACCCCACGUUCUGCCUUACAAAGUGGCCUUUGAAACUGACUGCUGUAUGUGCUAGCUUCCCCUGAGUAAUUCUCUUCCAGGAAUGAAAA